rnacentral:lncRNA from 1 species
CAUGGUCAUGUGAAAUCUCGUGUUUGUCCUAAGAUGAUGAAAGUUCGGCGUUGAUUUAAAACUAAGUUCACAGGCUUAGUUCAGAGAAAUUUCAGUUUCAGGCCUGGAACGUAGAACCAAAAUUUCGAAAAUUCUUUAAGUUUUCUUUGUACAAUCAAUUUAUCGUAGGGCAUCACACCAUGAUACGUUCACCCACCCCUUAAGAUAAAUAGUUGAGUUACUGACCUUGUCUG